GGAGAAGGCUAUGUUAGCCGGGCGACGGUUGUCCCGGUUUAAGCAUGUAGGCGGAACGAUUAGGUAAAUCCGGUCGUUUAUUAACGCUGAGGUGUGAUGACGAGGCACUACGGUGCUGAAGUAACAAAUGCCCUGCUUCCAGGAAAAGCCUCUAAGCAUCAGGUAACACGAAAUCGUACCCCAAACCGACACAGGUGGUCAGGUAGAGAAUACCAAGGCGCUUGA
rnacentral:rRNA from 1 species